UACGAAGGGGGCUAGCGUUGCUCGGAAUCACUGGGCGUAAAGCGCACGUAGGCGGAUCUUUAAGUCAGGGGUGAAAUCCUGGAGCUCAACUCCAGAACUGCCUUUGAUACUGGGGAUCUCGAGUCCGGAAGAGGUGAGUGGAACUCCGAGUGUAGAGGCGAAAUUCGUAGAUAUUCGGAAGAACACCAGUGGCGAAGGCGGCUCACUGGUCCGGUACUGACGCUGAGGUGCGAAAGCGUGGGGAGCAAACAGG
rnacentral:rRNA from 1 species